rnacentral:lncRNA from 1 species
UCUUCCUUUCAAAAUAGUCACCUUUUUCUCUCCCCAAAAUCCAUGCUUCUUUUUUCUUCUCCGCAAAAUAGUUACCUUCUUCUCUCUCCAAAAUCCAUGCUUCUUUCUCCUUCUCCGACUAUCGUUCUCAUCUCCUCUGAAAUCCUCCAUCCGCAGUCACUGUCCUAUCUGCUUCUCUCUUUCCGACCACCAUCCUUAUAUGUAUGUAUACUGUAUGUAU